GACGACAGUUAACUGCUGGUUUAUUUACGCGGGCUCUGGUUUAUAUAUUUGGCCGUGACCAAUCACAGGCUGCCACGAGGAAGCAGGGCGGGAAUGGGACGCAGGCUCUGGCUAUUAUAUCCAGCUGUGGCCAAUCAGGAGUUGCCACAGAGUACGGAGUGAGCACGAAGUGCGCACGGGUUGGCUAAUUUAAAGAGGGACGUAGCGCAUUGCGGAAGCUGGCGUGGUCCUUAGUCCCGGGUGGGGUAUGGUAUGUUGAGCGCCUGCGCCCAACAGAGGACAGGAGAUUCCUGCUAAUUUCUCUUGUUGUUUUGAAAUAGUACAUUCUAUUUCUAAACCACAGGCACAAGAUUUAACCAGUGAUUUUCAGAUUUGCAAAUCUGUUCAUUUCUAUGAAGUUGUGCAUGUGUAAUCAUAAAAUCAUUUUUAGUUAUGCAUUUAAUAAUUUUCUUUUUCUUUCUUUUCUCCUCCUCCUCUUAUUCUUCCUCCUCCUCCUUCUUCUUCUUUUUUGAAUAAGAAAAUUUAUUGAGGAAAAGGAGUGGGGAAUAGAAAUAGUUCCCAAGAGACAAGAAGAGUCCCAAAUGGGUUGCCCAAUAAUUUUAUUUUUCUGAGACAGAGUUCACUAUGUAACCCAGGCUGGCAUCAGACUCACAGUGAUCCUCCUGCCUUAGCCUCCCAAGUGCUGGGAUUACAGGCUUGGGUCACACACUCUGCAGUAAUUUUCUUUAUUGGAAGAAAAUUACAUUAAAUAAAAUUAGGACCAUCCAGGAAAACUCAGGCCAUUGGGUCACCAUGGCUAAACACAUAGCUUUAAAAUGCUUAGCAUAAAAACAAUUUCUUUGAGCUUCCCAAGAAGCAUUUAUUGUCUUAGUACCCUUGGUUAGCAACUCCUUUUUGAGUUGGAUUUUGUCUUUCCCAGGCCCACCAUAAACAUCUUUUGGGGCAGGGUUGUUAACUGACCCAGUCAGAGCGUUUCCCCAGAAUUUUUUGGUUGAUUUGGUGAGCAAGGGUCUUCUUUCCUCUUUGCAAGAAAUUAUGUAGAGGCUUAGGCUGUGAGUUUUCUCCAGCCAGGCUGAAAAAAUUGGGAGAGGAACUUGAAGUGCUGGAGUCCAGUUCUAGCUGUACCUGACUGAGGCCAGCCCCAUCCUUACCUCUCCAGAUACUUGAGGCUAGAAAUCUUUUUGCUUAAGCAGCUCUAGGUUAAACUCAUGUUACCUCAAUCCUUGUUCACAUGUUUCUGAAUUAUUUUGAAUUACCAUCAGAGAGUCAAUGAGAAACACAGGUGAUGGCGACUAGGUAACUACAAAAAAAUCAAGCAGCCAGGCGUGGAGGUGCAUGCUUGUCAUCCCAGCACUUGGGAGGCUGAGGCAGGAGGAUCACUGUGAGUUAAAAGCCACCUGGGGCUACGUAGUUGAGUCCAAGCCAGCCUGAACACCAUGAUGAGGCACUUUCUCAAAAACAAAAAAUCAAAACAACAAAAGGAGAAUCACUUGCUGACUCUAAAAAAGGGUAGUGACUCACCAGUUCUAGAAAUCGAUGAAGUCAUAAAGGAGCUCAACUUUUAAAUAAGGGAGGGCUCAGUGGUCCUAUUAUCUAAAUAUUACAUCAUCAAAAAGAGGCUGAUCCUGCACCCCUCCUCCACACCUAUUCUUAUUCUUUCUCUCUCUUUCUCCUUCUAAAACAAUUUGGCUGUAUGUCAACUAUCGGCCUGAGCACUGGGUAUAAAUGAUUCAUAGUACAUUGUGCUUGUUCCUUAGAAUGUGACUGUAUUUAGAGACAGGACCUUUAAAGGGGUAAUUAAAGUAAAAUAAGGUCACUGGAGUGGGCUUUAAUCCUGCCUGCUGUGUGAUAUAUAGCGAGGGAAGACAGCCCUUUACAAACCGAGCCUUAGAAGAAACCAACCCUACCAGCAGCUUGGACUUCUGCCCUCCACCACCCCAAGGGAGUAAGUUUCUGUCCACAGGCUGGCCUGGAAUGUUGUUAUGGCAGCUGCAGCAGACUAAUCCAAGGGGCUUGUGGUCUGAGGAUGGAGAUAAGUAGGGAAUAAAGGGAGCACAAUGCAGCCUGGUAAGUGAGGUGCCAGAGACACACAGCACAUGGCUGCGUGGACUCCCCAAGGUGGUAGACAAGAGGGAUGUCAGGAAAUUUCAUAGGGAAGUUAUUCUGGGCUCUAACGGUCAUGAGAAAUGCCUGUCUGUGGGAGGUGCAGGGGAGCACCAGUGAGGCCUCAAGCCUUGUGCUGUCUUUUAUUUAUUUAUUUAGAGGCAGGGUGUCCUUAUGUGGUUCAGGCUGGUCUUGAAUUCACGACGAUCCUCCUGCCUCGGCAUCGCAAGUGUUGGGAUUGCAGCUUUAACAUGCUAGAGAAAAGAUGUGAUACUUGUCUGAGUCUGGUUUAUCUUGCUCAGCAUGAUGUUCUCCAGAUCCAUCUUGUUUUUUUGCAAAUGACACAAUUGUGUUCUUCUUUAUGGUUGAAUAAUAUUCCAUUAUAUUGGCUCAAACUGAAAGAAGGAAAAAGCAGGCCGACCUUCAUCAUCAGGACAGAAAGACAGGGUAUGGAACUCAGGACCAUGGCUUACAAGACAGGUGCUUAUGCCGCUGAGCUAAAUCCCCAGUCCUACUGAUUCAUUUCUGAUCUGAUUUGUUGGCACCUGACAAAUGCUGCUGCCAGUCCCCUACAGUUCUAUCAAGAAGAAGAACAACAAAGUGGAGGUCUGUGCACAUUUGAAUCUGACCCAUGAUUGUAGAGGCUCCCUUUCCUCUGGCACUCGGGCACCUAUGUUUAAUGUGCAAAACAUGCAUCAGAGGACGAGUGAGGAGAAACUCAGGGCAUUCCACAAACCCAGAGACUUAGGGUGGGGCCCUAAGGCCAGGGUCAUCUUGAACAUGGGUCAAUCUACAAGACUGGCCCAGCUUUUGGCCAGAGGCUAUUAAAACCCCUGAG